rnacentral:rRNA from 1 species
AGUGAACGCUGGCGGCAGGCCUAACACAUGCAAGUCGAACGGCAGCACAAGGGAGCUUGCUCCCUGGGUGGCGAGUGGCGGACGGGUGAGGAAUACGUCGGAAUCUGCCUAUUUGUGGGGGAUAACGUAGGGAAACUUACGCUAAUACCGCAUACGUCCUACGGGAGAAAGCGGGGGAUCUUCGGACCUCGCGCAGAUAGAUGAGCCGACGUCGGAUUAGCUAGUUGGCGGGGUAAAGGCCCACCAAGGCGACGAUCCGUAGCUGGUCAGAGAGGAUGAUCCGCCACACUGGGACUGAGACACGGCCCAGACUCCUACGGGAGGCAGCAGUGGGGAAUAUUGGACAAUGGGGGGAACCCUGAUCCAGCCAUGCCGCGUGUGUGAAGAAGGCCUUUUGGUUGUAAAGCACUUUAAGCGAGGAGGAGGCGCUCUAGGAUAAUACCCUAGAUGCGUGGACGUUACUCGCAGAAUAAGCACCGGCUAACUCUGUGCCAGCCGCCGCGGUAACAC